CCCACGUGGGCGCCGAGCUCUGCUCCGGGCUGGACCACCUGGGGCCGCGUCCUCACAGAGGGAGAAGCAUGUUCUGGGCUUGGCGGUGGCGGAGGGAGCAGGGAAAGCUUUGGUGAUCCGGCCAGAACUCCGGCUGGGUCUCCGGCUUCUCCAGCGGUGCCUGAGGGAGGCUCUGGCGGCUGCCGCGGAGCCGGCGGUUCGGUCUUAGUGCUUCGGAAAGCGGGAAAGCAAAGAGCAUGGAUAAUGGUGCUGUUUGAUAGAUCCAGUUGUCAGAGCUCUGAGAACUAUGCCGAAGAAGUAACUCAGAAAGAGAGGAUAUGAGAGGGAGCCAGCGCUGAGAGACGAAUGCUGGGAAGGCCUGAUGCUGAGACGCCACCAAUGUAUGGUGAAAAGCAGCAGUUGAAUCUCUUCUGCAAAUUCACAUAAAAUGCUUCUGUUGUCUUUUUUCCUGUGGGUAUUUGUAUGUGGUCUGCAAAUAAUUUCAAGAACUUAUUAAAUAGGCAGGGUUUUCUCACAGGUGACAGGAAACUGUCCACUCAUAAAGUGGCUCUUUGGGGCCCUCUAUGAAAGCUGAAGCUUGCUCCCCUCCUCUGACUCUGGAACUUUCCACUCAUCUCCCCUGCAGACUCUGGGUCAUUCUUAACAGAGAAGAAUCACCUACAAGGGAAUUGGGUUAGGGUUCACUUUUACCUUGCAGUAAAAGCCUUGAGGUGUUUAUUUUACCAGCUUUAAAGAAAAGUGAUACAAACAUAUUAGAAUGUAGGCUGGACAUUCUAAAUACGAAAGAAAGCUUCUCGAUUGAUCUUGUGGACAGUCUGCCGCAAGUGCUGCCUUCAGACUGCAUGGUGUACUUUCUGUUGGAGUUACCUUUGUUCAUUUUGUUGGUUGUAAUUUAUUAUCGUGAAGUGUGGUAGUACUGUUACCAGGCAAAGAGGGUCCAGCCGCCUGUCACUGGUAGGCAAAUGCAGAAUCAGAAAUUAGGUCCAACAAGCUUUAUUGUCAGAAGGUCAACAGUUCUGGAGAGGAGUGAGAAUAGUUUCUCAAAGACUAUCCUGCCUCAGUUACAAUUCUAAUAAUUUUUUAUAAUGGAAUAAAGAAAACUUAAACUUUAUCUGACAGAAAACAUCAAAGUAGCCUUUACUCAACAAUGUAACAACAUUUAAAUAACAUAAAAGUAACCUUCACUUUAACAAGAUAGCAAUAAAAGUAACCUUUAACAAAUUAUCUAAAAGAAUCAUGAAAAGAAACAACAUCAAAGUAACUUUUACUCUAACAAUGUAGCAACACUUAUUGUCUAUGUGUGACUACCUCCCCCAAAGUCUUUUUUAUUUUUAUUUUUUGAGACAGAGUCUUACCAUGUCGUCCUUAGAAUGACGUCACAGCUCACAGCAACCUCAAACUCCUGGGCUUAAGCAAUUCUCUGGCUUCAGCCUCCCAAGUAGCUGGGACUACAGGUGCCUGCCAUAACACCAGGCUAUUUUUUUGUUGCAGUUGUCUUUGUUGCUUUAGCAGGCCUGGGCUGGGUUUGAACCUGCCGGCCUCAGUGUACGUGGCUGGCACCCUACCCACUGAGCUAUGGGCGCCCCUGUGCAGUUGCUUCUUAACUGACCUCUUUACAUGGGGACAAUGCUGUGUUACGGACAUGUGGUCAUUGUUACAUAUUUACUCUACUUAGGCAUAGUUAUAAUAUUUAUUCUAAUUCACAGGUAAUAGUAUAAUUAAGUAUACUAUGAGACGCAGAUUAAUUUUGUCCUGUAGAAAAUUAAGUUGGCAAUAUGAAAUAACAAAAUUAAAAUAAACAUAUUUUGGUUUCUAGGCAGAUAAGUCCCAUGAGAUAUAAUGAAAAACUCUUUCCUGUUUGGGGGUAUGUGUGCUCUUUACAAUUAAAAAAAAUGUGAAAAUCCAUUCUUCAACUUUUAUGGUGCAAUUCAGGCAAUUUAGAAUUGGAAAAUAAAUUUAUUGUAAAUUGCAGAAAUUAUAAUCCAUCUUUGUUAUCUCUCUGUUGGAACAAUGUGCUCCCUCUGAAUCCCUCCUGCUUUGCACUAGUUGCAAAGGCUAAAUGAUCACAGACUGCAGGUUGGGAACGGUGAACACACAGGGAAGUCAAAUGCUGGCGCGUGAACAUCAGCAGUCACCUGGUCGUGGCUGUUUCUAGUAGUUCACACAGUGUGUUCUCUUUGGGGCCAAGCAGCUUGUAGAGACAGGCAGUGACAUGUGUGGUGACAGCAGUUCACCCCUGGCAAGUGGCAACCCACUAUAAGCCAUCAGUAGGAUCAUCUUUACCCAGGAUCACCCUUCCUGCUGCACCCAGGGGAGCCUCCAUCCUAUGCUGUGGACAACCUCCUCCACCCUGGUGACCUCUGGGACCUGGGCCACUGCCUCCACCUUCGACAUCUGCUGCAGUGAUCACAAGAGCAUGAACUGACUUAUGAAGUGUAUUCAUCUCUCUCUCAUUAACAACUUGAAUAAAAUGCCAGUUGCUACUGCAGUCCCAGGGUAGACCUGGCUGAGGACAUGGUCAACUUCCUCUGGGGGACGUUCAGUGGGCUGCAUCAUCUCCCCUUUUUCCUGAGCAUACAAGGAAAAAGGUUGUUUAUGGAAAACCAGACAUUUGAGUUCUGGGGGUGCACGUUGAGCAUGGGCCAUGUGCCAGCUCAGUGAGGGGUUGGACACGCCCCUUACCUCCAGAGCCUUGUGCAUUCUACAGGGGCGAGAUGCAGACACAAAGCUCACGCUCACCCAUGACAGAGACUCCAGUGAAGGGCCUCUGAGUACAAAAGAGGGAGACUGACUGCCCGUGAAUAAGGGGAGGGUGCUGAUGAGGAGGGCAGGUUGACCAGGCACUGGACAGAUGCUGGCUGGACUGGACUAAUUGGGGCCCCCACAGCCCCGUUCCUACCUGGCUGACACAGUGAUUGGGAAAUGGAAUUCAUCUCCAUUAAAACUGUGUUUAUUGCCAUAAAAACAAUAGUUCAUAAUCUUAGACAAGACUCUUUCACCCCUUUUAGAAUUCAGAAAGUUCCAGCUCCGUGUGAAAGAAUGCCCUAGGUAUUUGGGAAAUUCCAUUUGUUCUGACAGAAUCCACCAUCUGCUGCCUUUCUUAUGUGUGGUAAGGAAGGCUCUAGUUCACUGAGACAGCACCCUGGCCUUCGCAAUGCGUCUGUAGUCUCAGUGUCAAAUUCAAGGCUGUCAGCAGCUGCCACAGCUGGGCCUCAGCAUCCCUGAGUGACACAACUUUCGCUUCCUCCCAGUCACGCGUCCUCCAAACAUGCUGCACAAUAGUGGUGUUUUUUUUUUUUGUCUAGGUGACUUUUGUCUCAGCCUCUUCCUAUCAACCAUGGUGCCUCCAGGGAACCUCAGCUUGUUAUCCGUGUAACUGACAUUGGCCUGUGAGGUCAGUGUGAAGAUGAAGAAUUAAAGUACAGUAGGAAAGUCUCUGGGAAGACACCGGGGACGUGUUGGAUCCUCACCCCUCUCACUGCUUAAACAAAAAUGUUUGCACACACCAGAUCAUCAAAAGAUGUUCAUUAAUGCACAAGAAAUUAAACUAAGCUUAUGUACAGUCUGGGCCAGACAUUCAUCAUGCCUCUUUCCAAAGGUAAGUUAAAGCCCUUUUUACCAACAUUAAUUUCCUACCAGACAAAGAAGGAAAGGAUGACCAGGAGAACAUGUCCACAUAGUUCAGAGGUCCCCAAGUAAGAUCAGAGAAGGCAAGUGUG